UCCCUCUCCGACAGCACAAACUUUCGGCUCAGGAACUGCCCGUUGUCCCGGCCUCGCUUCCACAGAAACCCUUCCCGGUACCCUGCAGAAUAAGGCUCCUGCUUCUCACUGUGAAUGAAUUCUUUCCUUUCGUAUUUGGCUCUGAUCCACUGUUCCCGCAGCAGCUGACAGUCAAGAAAUGUUGGCUUGUAAUAAAACGGUGGCAUUUUCGAUUCGUAUUUUGCUUUUGCUACGUUGUUCCCAUUUGAGGCCAUAAACUCCACUUGAGCAUCAUCCCAGUCAUCCAGACGGACCGACUUCACCUUGCUGACUUGUGGAAUAUUGCGAUGGAUUCCCGAGCAGUUCAAACAGAUGAAAAUCCCUAGGCUAUGAGACGCCCAGUCCGGAUCCGGAGCGGCGCAGUCGGCGCACGCCGCGUUGCCCGGCCGCUGGAGCAGCUCGGCCAGCGCCUUCCUGCUCCUCUCCUUCGCCAUGGGGGCUGCGGGCGGGUCCGCCGCGGUUAGCGGCGCCUCAUCGCGGGGCGCGGCGCGUUGGGCGGCGCCGGGGCUGCUCCAUGCGGCCCC
rnacentral:lncRNA from 1 species